UGGUCUCCCUCCUCUCUUUUGUUACUUUCAUUCAUUCCUUCAUUCAAAGAAAAACAAAAAGGGAAAACCUUAGCUAGCCUCCACCGCCGCCGAAUGGAGUGACCGAUUGCCGCCGUCCGUGGCUGUCCGAGGAGUCUCUCUUUGUACUGUCGGUGUUUUCCAAGUCAAAUCUCCUAUUCGAUGUCUUCUUCCUCACUCGGCGCCCAUCCUCCGUCGGAUUCUUCCUGCUCGCGGUCGUCUUGUCGCCGUCGUCUCGGCGUCAUUGUCUCGAAGAUUACACAGAAAAAAAAACCAAUUACUUGAAACACUUGCACACAAACAUGCCCAGUCUUAACAACAGCUUCCCAAUGGAUCUUUCAUUGGGUCUUUCCCCUGUUCUCAGAACUUUGGUUGUAAUCAUGAAAAAAAAUGGAUAGACAAUAUGAUUUGUUAGAGAUGAUUGCACCGUCAAAAGAGAGCUGGAAGAUUCAUAUCAGAGUAAUCAGACUCUGGUCUUUACCAAAAUUCAAAGACUCCAAAUCCAAUAGCUCCAUUGAAAUGGUGUUGAUGGAUGAGCAGGGAACAACUAUGCAUGCUUCUGUAGGUGAGGAUCUAAUAUCUGUGUUUCAAUCAUUGAUAUCAGAAGGAACUAUGUAUGUUUUUACAUACUUUGGAGUUAGCAAUGACUGUCGGUUGUAUCGCAUAACAUCGCAUCAAUUUCGGUUGUUUUUUCAAGAUAGAACUACUGUCUUACCCUCUUUCUGUGAUGCAAUACCGUUAUAUGGUAUUAAGUUGGUCCCUUUUAGGGAAAUUAUGGGAUACUCUUCUCAUCAUCCUUUUUUGGUUGGUAAGUGUAUAAUUUAUGGCAUGUACACAAGUUGAUUUUUAUUUUGUAAUUAUGAUAAAAUAUCACUAAAACGUGUGAUUUGUGCACAUUUUUCUAUUUGAUAUUUAUUUAAGACGUUGCUGGAGUUAUGACCGGUAUAGAGAGUGAGAGAAAAUAUGUGAACGAUGGCAAACUUAUUAACAUGAUAGUCAUUCAUAUUGAGAAUGACGGGUGCGUUUUUUCCAACAACCCUUACUCACCACUUAAUAUGUUUAUAUAAUUAAUUUUUUUAUUUUCUAAAUAAUUCUCAUUUUCUCUACAGUUUAAAGCUUAAUAUUGUUGUUCUUGGAGAGAUGGUGGACCGGAUCAAGGAUUUUCUGGCAUCGGGCGAUCAACAACUGCCAAUAGUUGUUUUUCAAUUUGCAAGAGUAAAAAAUGCUGGGGAACCAAUAUUGUGCAGAACAUUAUGUAUGGUAAUAGACUCUUGAUAAAUCCGGAUAUUCCUGAGGCUUUGAUGCUUCGAAAAAGAGAGAUCUCGCAGUACCUAUCUGUGAUUUCUGGCAAACCGGCAUAUCUUGAUGAAGAUAAGGUUUUAUAUUCCACUGGGAGGAAGACAAUAAAUGAGUUACGUGCGGUUGCGGAUGUUGGAUUCUAUGUUGUUCGGGCCACUGUUCUUGAUGUUGAACCCGUUCCAAGUUGGUGGUAUAAAUCAUGUCUUUGCAGCGUGAAGGUAGAAGCUAAUGCGGAUGAAUACUUCUGCGACGGCUGUAAUAGGGACGUGAAUAAUGUGGUUGACAGGUAUGACUCUAAUUAGACUUAUUUGUGCAAUCUUUUCAUAAAAAAGCAAUAUAGUUAACUAAUUGAUUAUGUUGAUUUUUAAAUGAUUUAGCAAUAUCUGGCUUAAUACCAAUAAUUAUUAAAAACAAAAGCUGCUUUGGCUGAUGGAAAUAUGGUCUAGCCACAAAAAAUGGCAAACAAAGAUAGAGUGCACAGAAAAAAUUUAUAUACCUACAACAAUUUUAUACCAAAGUCUCCUUUGCUAGGCUAAAAUCUAGAAAACUGAUAAAUCUAAAAAUAAUUGUGUUUGAGCAUCUAAAUUAUGUUGAAUAUAAUUUUUAUGAUUUUGUUGUAACUAAAGGGUGAUAGGCCAUGUGUUAGUUGAUGUUUUUUAAUAAUAAAAAAAACAGGUAUAAGUUGAAUUUGUUGAUUUUUUAUGGUACUGCUACAACAAAUUUUGUUGUGUUCGAUAAGGAGGUCGUAGCUCUAUUCGGACAAACCUGUACUGAGAUGGUGAAAGAGUUGAAUGAAAAAGGGAAAGCAAGCAAAGAUCCUAUUGGUUUUAAUGAGUUUUUCCUUGAUAAGGAGUUUUUAUUCAAGGUCGAAGUAGAAACUACUGGAUGGUGCGAUUCUUAUGAUGUAUCGGUGAUACGUUCUGAUUCUACAAGUUUACCGAGGUGGAGAGACAAUCAAGGCCCGGUAAAAUCUGAUGUACCCCUGCUGGUCCUGUUAACCCUGUUCAUCCUCGAGGUGAAGAUGGAUGUUCUGUUUGUGAUGAGUCACCUGAUCCAAUCGUAAAAAAUCUGUCUGUUACUAAAAAACCUGUUGUCAGGCGCCUGUUGGAUGAGUUUAACAUGUCUGGUGCUCCUUCCAUUAAAAAAUAGCUGCUGUGAAACAUGAAGUUUUUCAUGUAAUGGAGAUAAAAGAGCAUGUUUUGAAGGUUUGGUGGAGUCUUAGCUAUAGCUAUUGUUUAUUGAGAGAAUAGAUACUAUUCAAUUUUUAAAGUAUUUUGAAUUUUAAAUUGAACAAUUGUUGUUUUAUUUUAUUUAAUUAUCUAUAUUUUUUUG